rnacentral:rRNA from 1 species
GACGAACGCUGGCGGCGUGCCUAAUACAUGCAAGUCGAACGCUUCUUUCCUCCCGAGUGCUUGCACUCAAUUGGAAAGAGGAGUGGCGGACGGGUGAGUAACACGUGGGUAACCUACCCAUCAGAGGGGGAUAACACUUGGAAACAGGUGCUAAUACCGCAUAACAGUUUAUGCCGCAUGGCAUAAGAGUGAAAGGCGCUUUCGGGUGUCGCUGAUGGAUGGACCCACGGUGCAUUAGCUAGUUGGUGAGGUAACGGCUCACCAAGGACACGAUGCAUAGACGACAUGGUGGGGUGAUCGUCCACACUCGGACUGAGACACGGCCCAGACUCCUACGAGAGGCAGCAGUAGGUAAUCUUCGGCAAUGGACGAAAGUCUGACCGAGCAACGCCGCGUGUGUGACGAAGGUUUUCCGAUCGUAAACCUCUGUUGCUAGUGAAGAACACGGACGUCAGUAACUAAACGUCCCCUGACGGUAUCUAACCAGAAAUCCACGGCUAACUACGUG